rnacentral:rRNA from 1 species
GACGAACGCUGGCGGCGGGCUUAACACAUGCAAGUCGAACGGAAAGGCCCUGCUUUCGUGGGGUGCUCGAGUGGCGAAGGGGUGAGUAACACGUGAGUAACCUGCCCUUGACUUUGGGAUAACUUCAGGAAACUGGGGCUAAUACCGGAUAGGAGCUCCUGCUGCAGGGUGGGGGUUGGAAAGUUUCGGCGGGUGGGGUUGGACUCGCGGCUUACCAGCUUGUUGGUGGGGUAGUGGCUGACCAAGGCUUUGACGGGUAGCCGGCCUGAGAGGGUGACCGGCCACAUUGGGACUGAGGUACGGCCCAGACUCCAACGGGAGGCAGCGGGGGGAAACAUUGCACAAUGGUCGGAAGCCUGAUGAAGAAACGCCGCGUGCGGAAUGACGGCCUUCGGGUUAUAAACCGCAUUAGCCUGUGACGAAGCGUGAGUGACGGUAAUGGGUAAAGAAGCACCGGCUAACUACGUG